rnacentral:rRNA from 1 species
AUUGAACGCUGGCGGCAUGCCUUACACAUGCAAGUCGAACGGCAGCACGGGAGCAAUCCUGGUGGCGAGUGGCGAACGGGUGAGUAAUACAUCGGAACGUGCCCAGUCGUGGGGGAUAACGUAGCGAAAGCUACGCUAAUACCGCAUACGAUCUGUGGAUGAAAGCGGGGGACCGUAAGGCCUCGCGCGAUUGGAGCGGC